CAGUAGCCACGGUAAUACGUAGGUGGCAAGCGUUGUCCGGAAUUAUUGGGCGUAAGGGGCUCGCAGGCGGUUUCUUAAGUCUGAUGUGAAAGCCCCCGGCUCAACCGGGGAGGGUCAUUGGAAACUGGGAAACUUGAGUGCAGAAGAGGAGAGUGGAAUUCCACGUGUAGCGGUGAAAUGCGUAGAGAUGUGGAGGAACACCAGUGGCGAAGGCGACUCUCUGGUCUGUAACUGACGCUGAGGAGCGAAAGCGCGGGGAGCGAACAGGAUUAGAUACCCCAGUAGUCCCUGUCUCUUAUAC
rnacentral:rRNA from 1 species